GACGAACGCUGGCGGCGCGCCUAACACAUGCAAGUCGAACGGAGUCAAGAGGAGCUUGCUUUUCUUGACUUAGUGGCGAACGGGUGAGUAACGCGUGAGUAACCUGCCCUGGAGUGGGGGACAACAGUUGGAAACGACUGCUAAUACCGCAUAAGCCCACGGAUCUGCAUGGAUCUGCGGGAAAAGGAUUUAUUCGCUCUAGGAUGGACUCGCGUCCAAUUAGCUAGUUGGUGAGGUAACGGCCCACCAAGGCGAAGAUUGGUAGCCGGACUGAGAGGUUGAACGGCCACAUUGGGACUGAGACACGGCCCAGACUCCUACGGGAGGCAGCAGUGGGGGAUAUUGCACAAUGGGGGAAACCCUGAUGCAGCGACGCCGCGUGGAGGAAGAAGGUUUUCGGAUUGUAAACUCCUGUCGUUAGGGACGAUAAUGACGGUACCUAACAAGAAAGCACCGGCUAACUACGUG
rnacentral:rRNA from 1 species